rnacentral:rRNA from 1 species
AUGUGAUCGUCUCUCGCAUAUCAAUAAGCGGAGGAAAAGAAACUAACAAGGAUUCCCCUAGUAACGGCGAGUGAAGCGGGAAGAGCUCAAAUUUGAAAUCUUAAAGGGUUUCCCUUUACGAAUUGUAGUUUAAAGAAGUGUUUUCUGUUGAGGUUUUGGUAAAAGUUCUUUGGAAUAGGACAUCAUAGGAGGGUGAGAAUCCCGUAUUUGACCUUUACUUUCAACUUUGUGAUACACUUUCAAAGAGUCGGAUUGUUUGGGAAUGCAGUCCAAAAUGGGUGGUAAAUUUCAUCUAAAGCUAAAUAUUGGCGAGAGACCGAUAGCGAACAAGUACCGUGAGGGAAAGAUGAAAAGAACUUUGAAAAGAGAGUUAAACAGUACGUGAAAUUGUCAAAAGGGAAGCGUUUGACACCAGUGUUGUUUUUCUGAAAAUCAAUUAAAGAACUGUUUAUGCUAAGCUGUUUAGACUUUAUCAGCUAUCUGUUUAGUUUUGAGCUUUUCUUUAAUGCACUUUUCAGUUAACAAGUCAACAUCAAUUUCUUUUGCUGUAAAAAAGCUUGAGGAAGGUGGCUUGAGAUUCGUCUUAAGUGUUUAUAGCCUCUUGCCUAUGCUGUCGGAGAGAUUGAGGUCUGCAGCGUAGAUCCUUCGGGGCUAAAUGCAUUUGUGCUAAGUUAUAGCAUUUUAUAGACAACUUGUUGACUAUGAUUUGUCUUGUAGCUUACUCGCUUAUGUUAUUUUACCUACGCUUAGGAUGUUGAUAUGCAUGACUGAUAU